rnacentral:rRNA from 1 species
GAUGAACGCUGGCGGCGUGCCUAAUACAUGCAAGUCGAGCGAACAGACGAGGCGCUUGCUCCUCUGACGUUAGCGGCGGACGGGUGAGUAACACGUGGAUAACCUACCUAUAAGACUGGGAUAACUUCGGGAAACCGGAGCUAAUACCGGAUAAUAUAUUGAACCGCAUGGUUCAAUAGUGAAAGACGGUUUUGCUGUCACUUAUAGAUGGAUCCGCGCCGCAUUAGCUAGUUGGUAAGGUAACGGCUUACCAAGGCAACGAUGCGUAGCCGACCUGAGAGGGUGAUCGGCCACACUGGAACUGAGACACGGCCCAGACUCCUACGGGAGGCAGCAGUAGGGAAUCUUCCGCAAUGGGCGAAAGCCUGACGGAGCAACGCCGCGUGAGUGAUGAAGGUCUUCGGAUCGUAAAACUCUGUUAUUAGGGAAGAACAAAUGUGUAAGUAACUAUGCACGUCUUGACGGUACCUAAUCAGAAAGCCACGGCUAACUACGUG